rnacentral:rRNA from 1 species
UACGUAGGGUGCAAGCGUUGUCCGGAAUUAUUGGGCGUAAAGAGCUCGUAGGCGGUCUGUCACGUCGGCUGUGAAAACCCGAGGCUCAACCUCGGGCCUGCAGUCGAUACGGGCAGACUAGAGUUCGGUAGGGGAGACUGGAAUUCCUGGUGUAGCGGUGAAAUGCGCAGAUAUCAGGAGGAACACCGGUGGCGAAGGCGGGUCUCUGGGCCAUUACUGACACUGAGAAGCGAAAGCAUGGGGAGCGAACAGG